rnacentral:rRNA from 1 species
AUCCUGGCUCAGAAUCAACGCUGGCGGCGUGCCUAACACAUGCAAGUCGAACGAGAAAGCGGGGGCAACUCCGUGAGUAAAGUGGCGCACGGGUGAGUAACACGUGACUAACCUACCUUGGAGUUCGGAAUAACCUCGGGAAACCGGGGCUAAUACCGGAUAACACCUACGGGUCAAAGGAGCAAUUCGCUCUGAGAGGGGGUCGCGGCUGAUUAGCUAGUUGGCAGGGUAAUGGCCUACCAAGGCGACGAUCAGUAUCCGGCCUGAGAGGGCGCACGGACACACUGGAACUGAAACACGGUCCAGACUCCUACGGGAGGC